CCCUUAGAUGUUCUGGGCCGCACGCGCGCUACACUGACACACUCAGCGAGUCACCUGAUCUGAGAAGACCGGGCAAUCAUGUGAGCGUGUGUCGUGAUGGGGAUAGAAUAUUGUAAUUAUUACUCUUCAACGAGGAAUUCCUAGUAAGCGCGAGUCAGCAGCUCGCGCUGAUUACGUCCCUGCCCUUUGUACACACCGCCUGUCGCUCCUACCGAGGGGGUGAUCCGGUGAAUGAUUCGGACUUUGGCAUUGCUAUGUUUCAUAGCAUUGCUGGGGGAAGUCUUGUGAACCUUAUCACUUGGAGGAAGGAGAAGUCGUAACA
rnacentral:rRNA from 1 species